rnacentral:rRNA from 1 species
UACGUAGGGGGCUAGCGUUGUCCGGAAUCAUUGGGCGUAAAGAGCGUGUAGGCGGCCCGGUAAGUCCGCUGUGAAAGUCGGGGGCUCAACCCUCGAAUGCCGGUGGAUACUGUCGGGCUAGAGUGCGGAAGAGGCGAGUGGAAUUCCUGGUGUAGCGGUGAAAUGCGCAGAUAUCAGGAGGAACACCGAUUGCGAAGGCAGCUCGCUGGGACGUAACUGACGUUGAGACGCGAAAGCGUGGGGAGCAAACAGG